AUUGAACGCUGGCGGCAUGCCUUACACAUGCAAGUCGAACGGCAGCAUGGGUGCUUGCACCUGAUGGCGAGUGGCGAACGGGUGAGUAAUGCAUCGGAACGUACCCGGAAGUGGGGGAUAACGUAGCGAAAGUUACGCUAAUACCGCAUAUUCUGUGAGCAGGAAAGCGGGGGAUCGCAAGACCUCGCGCUUCCGGAGCGGCCGAUGUCGGAUUAGCUAGUUGGCGGGGUAAAGGCCCACCAAGGCAACGAUCCGUAGCGGGUCUGAGAGGAUGAUCCGCCACACUGGGACUGAGACACGGCCCAGACUCCUACGGGAGGCAGCAGUGGGGAAUUUUGGACAAUGGGCGCAAGCCUGAUCCAGCCAUGCCGCGUGAGUGAAGAAGGCCUC
rnacentral:rRNA from 1 species